rnacentral:rRNA from 1 species
AGUGAACGCUGGCGGUAGGCCUAACACAUGCAAGUCGAACGGCAACACAGUAACGGCUUGCUCUUACGGGUGGCGAGUGGCGGAAUGGUGCGGAAUACAUCCGAAUGUACGUUUUCGUGGGGGGUAACGUAGGCAAACAUACCCUAAUACCGCAUACGAACUACGGGGGAAAGCAGGGGAACUUCGGACCUUGCGCGUUUGAAUGAGCCGAUGUCGGAUUAGCUAGUUGGCGGGGUAAAGGCCCACCAAGGCGACGAUCCGUAGCUGGUCUGAGAGGACGAUCAGCCACACUGGAACUGAGACACGGUCCAGACUCCUACGGGAGGCAGCAGUGGGGAAUAUUGGACAAUGGGCGCAAGCCUGAUCCAGCCAUGCCGCGUGGGUGAAGAAGGCCUUCGGGUUGUAAAGCCCUUUUGUUGGGAAAGAAAAGCAGCCGGUUAAUACCCCGCUGUUCUGACGGUACCCAAAGAAUAAGCACCGGCUAACUUCGUG